UACGAAGGGGGCGAGCGUUGUUCGGAUUUACUGGGCGUAAAGGGCGCGCAGGCGGCCAUUCAAGUCAGGCGUGAAAGCCCCGGGCUCAACCUGGGGGCUGCGCUUGAUACUGAUGAGCUUGAAUGCGGGAGAGGAUAGUGGAAUUCCCAGUGUAGAGGUGAAAUUCGUAGAUAUUGGGAAGAACACCGGUGGCGAAGGCGGCUAUCUGGCCCGUAAUUGACGCUGAGGCGCGAAAGCGUGGGGAGCAAACAGG
rnacentral:rRNA from 1 species